rnacentral:rRNA from 1 species
UACGUAGGGAGCAAGCGUUGUCCGGAAUCAUUGGGCGUAAAGAGCGCGUAGGUGGCUGCAUAAGUCCGUUGUGAAAGUCAAAGGCUCAACCUUUGAAAGCCGAUGGAUACUGUGGAGCUAGAGUACGGAAGAGGCGAGUGGAAUUCCUGGUGUAGCGGUGGAAUGCGCAGAUAUCAGGAAGAACACCAAUAGCGAAGGCAGCUCGCUGGGACGUUACUGACACUGAGGCGCGAAAGCGUGGGGAGCGAACAGG